rnacentral:rRNA from 1 species
CAGCAGCCACGGUAAUACGUAGGGUGCGAGCGUUAAUCGGAAUUACUGGGCGUAAAGCGUGCGCAGGCGGUUGUGUAAGACAGGUGUGAAAUCCCCGGGCUUAACCUGGGAACUGCGCUUGUGACUGCACAGCUAGAGUAUGGCAGAGGGGGGGUGGAAUUCCACGUGUAGCAGUGAAAUGCGUAGAGAUGUGGAGGAACACCGAUGGCGAAGGCAGCCCCCUGGGCCAAUACUGACGCUCAUGCACGAAAGCGUGGGGAGCAAACAGGAUUAGAUACCCGCGUAGUCCCUGUCUCUUAUU